UGGGGACAGCAGGUGGGAGCUUCCUAAGCCAGACAAAGGAGACCUGACAAGAAACUGUGCUGAAGGGACAAGCCCAAGGCAAAGGAAUGUCCGGUCACCUCCUCCCCUGGAGCAGGCAGCUGAGAUCUGCAUAGACAGGAGACAUUUUGCAAGACUCAACACCUGGAGCAGUGCUAACCAGGGCUCACUGCCUCGGGUAGAACUCCAUUUGCUGAGCUUUCCUGCUCCAGGUGGGCAGCCCUGAUGUCGGCCAAGCUCUACGUGCUCAUCAGCUGGCCUGAUGGCAGCCGUGUCAUCAGCAUGGAGAACAUCAAGGAGCCCCGCAAGCCCUUCCAUCUCUACGUUGUGGGUGAACAGGUGCUGGCCCGCUGCCCUGGCUUCAGUGGGCUCUACUGGGGGAUUGUGGAAGGCAUAAGUGAGCAUAAAGAUGCUUUGGAGAAGAAGCUGCUGGAAGAUAGACAACUCCUGGAGAAGUUAAAAGACGAACCAGCUGUCCACAGCAUGAUGCCACCCCAGCCAAAAAAAUCCAGGAAAACCUUCCCAAAAUGGACCCCGGUGAAUGCAUGCAGGAAAUACCACACUGACAGGACUUACUCUGGGAAGCCACUGCUGCAGGCAGCUGAGCCCAUCCUGCCCUGCGGUGCUGGCAGCCCCUCCAUCACCAAGGAGAGAUGUACCCUGGGGCCACCCCAUCCCACCAGCACCUUCACCCCCACAGCCACUUUUGUCAGCCUGGCUGUGCCGGGGACUUCCCAGGGUGAGGAGGACAGAGCUGGCACCACUACCAAAGGGAGAAGAUAGAGCAGCUGGAAAGGAUGGUCUUGGACCUCCAACAGGAUGUCCUCUCUCUGAAGAAGAAGGUACAGAGGCUGGAAUCCCUGUCCUUCCAGGAGGAGCCCCACCGGCAGCCCUGUGAGGUGGUGGAGCUCUUCAAUGGCUACACCAAGGAACAGCUCCGAGAAGCAAUCCGCUUUGACCAGAAGAUCAGCACUGCCUGCAAGACGCUGCUCUACAAGCUCUUCACGUCUGACUACAUCCAGAGCCACUCCAUCACGGGGCGCAGAGGCAACACUUUCCGAGAGGCAAAACCCAUGAUGGAUGAGCGCUGCAUCAAAAUCAUCAGGGUGCUGCUGAAACAGAAGUUUGGGGACCACCUCAGCGACACGGUGAUCACAGAGAAGAUACAAAAC
ensembl:lncRNA